AUUUCCUCCUGCCUAGGAGGCUGGUGGAGGUGGGACCGAGUCCAGGGAGUAUGCAGCACGCGAGGACCCAGCACAGGGAGGCACAGAGGAGACGCCUGGCACAUACCCCACCGGGGAGAAACCUUGGCGUGGCAAAGUCAUCAAUUCAGUAUUUUCCAGGCUAGCUUUGCCUGGGCUCUGGAGUGCCCUCUCAAAAUAACUUCCAAUUUAAGGAGAUAUAGGACAAGGCAAGAAGGGUGGAAGAAGGCAUAAGAGAUCCUCACGUGGCAUUAUCAGGAU
rnacentral:lncRNA from 1 species